rnacentral:rRNA from 1 species
AGAGUUUGAUCCUGGCUCAGAGCGAACGCUGGCGGCGUACUUAACACAUGCAAGUCGAACGGGCUGCGGGGGGCAACUCUCGCGGUCAGUGGCGCACGGGUGAGUAACACGUGGGCAACCUGUCCCCGAGCCUGGGAUACCCGCUCGAAAGGGCGGCUAAUACCGGAUACGGUCCCUGGGGUGCGAGCCCUGGGGAGGAAAGGCCGUGGCAACACGGUCACUGGGGGAGGGGCUCGCGGCCUAUCAGCUAGUUGGCGGGGUAACGGCCCACCAAGGCGAUGACGGGUAGCUGGUCUGAGAGGACGACCAGCCACACGGGAACUGAGACACGGUCCCGACUCCUACGGGAGGCAGCAGUGGGGAAUUUUCCGCAAUGGGCGCAAGCCUGACGGAGUGACGCCGCGUGGGGGACGAAGGCCUUCGGGUCGUAAACCCCUGUCAGAGGGAAAGAAGGGUCUGGGAGUGAACUCUCGGACUUGACGGUACCUUCAGAGGAAGCCCCGGCCAACUCUGUGCCAGCAGCCGCGGUAAGACAGAGGGGGCAAGCGUUGCUCGGAAUCACUGGGCGUAAAGGGCGCGUAGGCGGGUCGGCAAGUCGGUCGUGAAAUCUCCGGGCUCAACCUGGAGGGGUCGGCCGAGACUGCAGAUCUUGAGGGAGGCAGAGGAGCCUGGAAUUCCCGGUGUAGCGGUGAAAUGUGUAGAGAUCGGGAGGAACACCGGUGGCGAAGGCGGGGCUCUGGGCCUCAACUGACGCUGAGGCGCGAAAGCGUGGGGAGCAAACGGGAUUAGAUACCCCGGUAGUCCACGCGGUAAACGAUGUCGACUAGGUGUGGGGGGGUUAGACCCUUCCGUGCCGCAGCUAACGCAUUAAGUCGACCGCCUGGGGAGUACGGCCGCAAGGUUGAAACUCAAAGGAAUUGACGG